rnacentral:misc_RNA from 1 species
AAACACCCUCAGUUCUUUCUUUAUUGAUAGGACUGGACUUGAGUGAUCCCAACGGCUCUUAAAAAGCCGGCGGGUUGCUUGAAAUGCAGGUGCGGCUGGACACAUCUUCUGAGCUAUAAGCAUUACCUAUUUAGUCCCGUCAAACGGAUUAUUUCUAUUGCUACAGCUAAUAUAAAGGUCGAUUGUCCUUGUGCCCGACUGAUGCAGGAAAACAUGGAGAAAUCCUUGUUCA